rnacentral:rRNA from 1 species
CCUACGGGAGGCAGCAGUGGGGGAUAUUGCACAAUGGGGGAAACCCUGAUGCAGCGACGCCGCGUGUGGGAAGACGGUCCUCUGGAUUGUAAACCACUGUCCCCAGGGACGAAGAUGACGGUACCUUGGGAGGAAGCUCCGGCUAACUACUUCCCAGCAGCCGCGGUAAUACGUAGGGUGCAAGCGUUACUCGGAAUAACUGGUCAUAAAGAGCGCGUAGGGGGGAUAGGAAGUCAGAUGUGAAAUUCUAUGGCUUAACCAUAGAACUGCAUUUGAAACUGUUAUUCUAGAGUAUGGGAGAGGUAGGUGGAAUUCUUGGUGUAGGGGUAAAAUCCGUAGAGAGCAAGAGGAAUACUCAGUGCGAAGGCGACCUGCUAGAACAUAACUGACGCUGAUGCGCGAAAGCGUGGGGAGCAAACAGGAUUAGAUACCCUUGUAGUC